rnacentral:rRNA from 1 species
CACGUAGGGGGCAAGCGUUGUCCGGAUUUAUUGGGCGUAAAGAGCUCGUAGGCGGUUCGGUAAGUCGGGUGUGAAACCUCCAGGCUCAACCUGGAGACGCCACCCGAUACUGCUGUGACUCGAGUCCGGUAGGGGAGCGUGGAAUUCCUGGUGUAGCGGUGAAAUGCGCAGAUAUCAGGAGGAACACCAGCGGCGAAGGCGGCGCUCUGGGCCGGAACUGACACUGAGGGACGAAAGCUAGGGGAGCGAAAGGG